UACGUAGGUGGCAAGCGUUGUCCGGAUUUAUUGGGCGUAAAGAGCGCGCAGGCGGUCGUUCAAGUCGCGUGUGAAAGCCCCCGGCUCAACUGGGGAGGGUCACGCGAUACUGAUCGACUCGAAGGCAGGAGAGGGUAGUGGAAUUCCCGGUGUAGUGGUGAAAUGCGUAGAUAUCGGGAGGAACACCAGUGGCGAAGGCGACUACCUGGCCUGUUUCUUGACGCUGAGGCGCGAAAGCUAGGGGAGCAACGGGG
rnacentral:rRNA from 1 species